CGGCCGUAACUAUAACGGUCCUAAGGUAGCGAAAUUCCUUGUCGGUUAAAUACCGACCUGCAUGAAUGGCGUAACGAGAUGGGAGCUGUCUCAACCAGAGAUUCAGUGAAAUUGUAGUGGAGGUGAAAAUUCCUCCUACCCGCGGCAAGACGGAGAGACCCCGUGGACCUUUACUACAACUUAGCACUGCUAAUGGGAAUAUCAUGCGCAGGAUAGGUGGGAGGCU
rnacentral:rRNA from 1 species